rnacentral:lncRNA from 1 species
AUGUAUGAACCUGUCAUAAUACCAUGAUCGUCGUAUGAUCUGAUGAAGUAUAAACUCUCGGCAUUCAGAUAUUUUUUUAGAAGAGCGAUACUCUAUGCCAGCAACCAGCAUGAUCUUGGAAUAGAACUUGACUAUAUAUUUAAGAUGGAUCAUAUGCAUGGAUAUACGGAAUGCCUGCUAAGAAGGGUAUACGAGAGAAUCAAACAGUCCACCGCCGGUACAGAGAAAGAAGGAGGAAAGGAAGACAUAGCGUUUAAAGCUGUUCCCUAUACGAUGAACAGUUCGAGAGUAAUGAGGUGAGUCGCACAGAAGACAGGGAGGAAAAUAGCUUACAAAUGAUGCCCUACCUUAUUUAACAAGCUUUGAUGUGAUAAAGAUAAAUUAAAGGAAGAG